CCAGCGAUCCGCCUGAGUUCCUUAAAUGACUCGGCGGGCAGCUUCCGGGAAACCGAAGUUUUUCGGUUCCGGGGGAAGUAUGGUUGCAAAGCUGAAACUUAAAGGAAUUGACGGAAGGGCACCACCAGGAGUGGAGCCUGCGGCUUAAUUUGACUCAACACGGGAAAACUUACCCGGCCCGGACACUGGCAGGAUUGACAGAUUGAGAGCUCUUUCUUGAUUCAGUGGGUGGUGGUGCAUGGCCGUUCUUAGUUGGUGGAGCGAUUUGUCUGGUUAAUUCCGAUAACGAACGAGACUCUAGCCUACUAAAUAGGCCACCGGCUUACUGACGUCGGUGGGACUUCUUAGAGGGACAGGCGGCGAUUCAGCCGCACGAAACAGAGCAAUAACAGGUCUGUGAUGCCCUUAGAUGUCCGGGGCCGCACGCGCGCUACACUGAAGUGAUCAGCGUGCAUUACAAACCUGCUCCGUCAGGAGUGGGGAACCCAAUGAACCUUCUUCGUGAUUGGGAUAGGGGAUUGUAAUUAUUCCCCUUGAACGAGGAUUCCCAGUAAGCGCGAGUCAUAAGCUCGCGUUGAUUACGUCCCUGCCCUUUGUACACGCCGCCCGUCGCUACUACCGAUUGAAUGAUUUAGUGAGGUCUUCGGACUGGCCGGCGCAGCUGUCUUCGGGCGGCCGCGCUGUGUUUGGAAAGAUGCCCAAACUUGAUCAUUUAGAGGAAGUAAAAGUCGUAACAAGGUUUCCGU
rnacentral:rRNA from 1 species